rnacentral:tRNA from 2 species
GCCGGAGUGGCGGAACUGGUAGACGCGACGGUCUCAAACACCGUUGAGGGGUAACCCUCGUGCCGGUUCGAAUCCGGCCUCCGGCACCA